UGGGGAAUUGUUCACAAUGGGCGCAAGCCUGAUGACGCAACGCCGCGUGGGGGAUGAAGGUCUUCGGAUCGUAAACCCCUGUCGAAUGGGACGAAUAGCCCGCGAAUUAAUACCUCGUGGGAAUGACGGUACCGUUAAAGGAAGCCACGGCUAACUCUGUGCCAGCAGCCGCGGUAAUACAGAGGUGGCAGGCGUUGUUCGGAAUUACUGGGCGUAAAGGGCGCGUAGGCGGCCAUCUAAGUCAGACGUGAAAUCCCCCGGCUCAACCUGGGAACUGCGUCUGAUACUGGGAGGCUAGAGUUUGGGAGAGGGAUGUAGAAUUCCAGGUGUAGCGGUGAAAUGCGUAGAUAUCUGGAGGAAUACCGGUGGCGAAGGCGGCAUCCUGGACCAAUACUGACGCUGAGGCGCGAAAGCUAGGGGAGCAAACGGGAUUAGAUACCCAUGUAGUCCCUGAGCGGGCUGGCAAGGCGCAU
rnacentral:rRNA from 1 species